AACCGUAGCUCAGUUUGGUAGAGCUCCCGCCUAAACGACGGACGUCGCCGGUUCAAAUCCGGCCGGUU
rnacentral:tRNA from 1 species